AGAGUUUGAUCAUGGCUCAGAAUCAACGCUGGCGGCGUGCCUCAGACAUGCAAGUCGAACGCGAAAGUCCCCUUCGGGGGGCAAGUAGAGUGGCGCACGGGUGAGUAACACGUAGGUAAUCUACCUUUGGAUGGGGAAUAACAACCGGAAACGGUUGCUAAUACCGCAUAAUGCAGCGGCACCUAAUGGUGACAGUUGUUAAAGCGGGGGAUCGAAAGACCUCGCGUCUAAAGAGGAGCCUGCGGCGGAUUAGCUAGUUGGUAAGGUAACGGCUUACCAAGGCAACGAUCCGUAGCCGGCCUGAGAGGGCGGUCGGCCACACUGACACUGACAUACGGGUCAGACUCCUACGGGAGGCAGCAGUCGGGAAUUUUGGGCAAUGGGCGAAAGCCUGACCCAGCAACGCCGCGUGAAGGAUGAAAUCCCUCGGGAUGUAAACUUCGCAAGAACGGGAAGAAUAAGUAGGGGACAAUACCCCCUAUGAUGACGGUACCGUUUGUAAGCUCCGGCUAACUCCGUGCCAGCAGCCGCGGUAAUACGGGGGGAGCAAGCGUUGUUCGGAUUUACUGGGCGUAAAGGGCGCGUAGGCGGCCAGCACAAGUCAGUUGUGAAAUCUCCGAGCUU
rnacentral:rRNA from 1 species